rnacentral:lncRNA from 10 species
UAACUUCUGAAGCUGUCUCAUAAGAAGCCUUGCAGAUUCUGCUCAUGUCUCUUUCCUCUCUGGGAAACAAGUCGCGACUCAGGGAUAAGCCUGAGACACAUGGAGAGAACAUCCUGAUCAAUCUGGUCUUUGCUGCUACCCUGGUCAACAGCCUGAGCUGGAUACCUGGCUGACAAGUACCACCUUUUUCCUACACAGAUGACAACCCAGCCCAUGAGCACCAGGAAAAUUAAACAAAAAGCCGAAAGAAAAAAGAAAAGAAGAAGUCUGGGAGUGAAGUUAUAUGCUUAAAGGCAUGCAUCUAGCAAAUGGCAAAAAAAAUGGAUGAAGACACAAGACUGAUUGUCACUAAAAACCAUGUGGUAUGUUUGAGCAAGUUUUGCAGCCACAUCAGUUUCUGAUUAGACUUACAAUUUAAGUGGGGAAGUG